AUACGUAUGGGGCGAGCGUUAUCCGGAAUCAUUGGGCGUAAGGCGCGCGUAGGCGGCUGUCCAAGCGGGGCGUCAAAUCCCGGGGCUCAACCCCGGGCCGCGCCCCGAACUGGGCGGCUUGAGUCCGGUAGGGGGAGGCGGAAUUCCCGGUGUAGCGGUGAAAUGCGCAGAUAUCGGGAAGAACACCGGUGGCGAAGGCGGCCUCCCGGGCCGCGACUGACGCUGAGGCGCGAAAGCUAGGGGAGCGAACAGGAUUAGAUACCCUGGUAGUCCUAGCCGUAAACGAUGGGCACUAGGUGUGGGGAAGACCGAUCCUCCGUGCCGCAGCCAACGCAUUAAGUGCCCCGCCUGGGGAGUACGGCCGCAAGGCUAAAACUCAAAUGAAUUGACGGGG
rnacentral:rRNA from 1 species